UCAGCACCCACAGUGACACAGUUGUCGCACAGGUUUCAAAUAUCCUGGAAAUCUCCGUAAAUAUGCUUAUUUCUGACAUUCUAACUCAAAUCCUUCAGGGAAAUCUGCACAAGGUCCUGGUGCAGUCAUGUGACUUUGUGUGAGCCCGUGAUGUCAUUACGAACAUGGUGCCCAUUUUAGGAGGUGCAUAUGAAGGAAGCUGUUACUUUCUAAAAGCUUGCUGUUGGGUCAAGAAAGGUUGCCUCCAAGGACCACUUGAGUAGCACGACGUUGGUGACAUCUGACCCCAGUUCCCACUGAAGAAUAACAGCCCCGAAGCAUGCUGCUGCCUCCACCACCAUGCUUCACAAUUGGUAUGGAGUGCUUUUAGUGAUGAGCAGAGUUGUUUGCAGCAAAAAAUACUUUUUGGAAUUUGGCCAAAAGUUAGAUCGAACAGACCAUCAGACAUUUUCCCACUUGCGUUUUGGGAGAUUUUGCUCUGGUCCAAUGAAACCAUGGUUGAAAAUGCUGGCCAUUAAAUCUAAUUCACGAAAAUCUUCAUGUCUACUUUUG